rnacentral:tRNA from 1 species
GCCCUUGUAGCUCAAUGGAUAGAGCAAGUCCGUCCUAAGGACGAGAUGGGGGUUCGAUUCCCUCCAAGGGCACCA